AGAGCUCGUAGGUGGUUUGUCGCGUUGUUCGUGAAAUCUCACGGCUUAACUGUGAGCGUGCGGGCGAUACGGGCAGACUUGAGUACUGCAGGGGAGACUGGAAUUCCUGGUGUAGCGGUGGAAUGCGCAGAUGUCAGGAGGAACACCGGUGGCGAAGGCGGGUCUCUGGGCAGUAACUGACGCUGAGGAGCGAAAGCGUGGGGAGCGAACAGGAUUAGAUACCCUGGUAGUCCACGCCGUAAACGGUGGGUACUAGGUGUGGGUUUCCUUCCUUGGGAUCCGUGCCGUAGCUAACGCAUUAAGUACCCCGCCUGGGGAGUACGGCCGCAAGGCUAAAACUCAAAGAAAUUGACGGGGGCCCGCACAAGCGGCGGAGCAUGUGGAUUAAUUCGAUGCAACGCGAAGAACCUUACCUGGGUUUGACAUGCACAGGACGCCGGCAGAGAUGUCGGUUCCCUUGUGGCCCGUGUGCAGGUGGUGCAUGGCUGUCGUCAGCUCGUGUCGUGAGAUGUUGGGUUAAGUCCCGCAACGAGCGCAACCCUUGUCUCAUGUUGCCAGCGGGUAAUGCCGGGGACUCGUGAGAGACUGCCGGGGUCAACUCGGAGGAAGGUGGGGAUGACGUCAAGUCAUCAUGCCCCUUAUGUCCAGGGCUUCACACAUGCUACAAUGGCCGGUACAAAGGGCUGCGAUGCCGCGAGGUUAAGCGAAUCCUUUUAAAGCCGGUCUCAGUUCGGAUCGGGGUCUGCAACUCGACCCCGUGAAGUCGGAGUCGC
rnacentral:rRNA from 1 species